GAUCCUGGCUCAGGAUGAACGCUGGCGGCGUGCUUAACACAUGCAAGUCGAACGAAGCAACUUAUCACGAUCCUUCGGGGUGACGAUUGUGACUGAGUGGCGGACGGGUGAGUAACGCGUGGGUAACCUACCUUGUACAGGGGGACAACAGUUGGAAACGACUGCUAAUACCGCAUAAGCGCACGGUACCGCAUGGUACAGUGUGAAAAGUAUUUUCGGUACAAGAUGGACCCGCGUCUGAUUAGCUAGUUGGUGAGGUAACGGCUCACCAAGGCGACGAUCAGUAGCCGACCUGAGAGGGUGACCGGCCACAUUGGAACUGAGACACGGUCCAAACUUCUACGGAAGGCAGCAGUAAGGAAUCUUGCACAAUGGGGGAAACCCUGAUGCAGCAACGCCGCGUGAACGAUGAAGGCCUUAGGGUUGUAAAGUUCUGAUCUGGGGGAAGAAGAAAGUGACGGUACCCCAGGAGAAAGCCCCGGCUAAAUACGUGCCAGCCGCCGC
rnacentral:rRNA from 1 species